rnacentral:rRNA from 1 species
UACGUAGGGGGCGAGCGUUGUCCGGAUUUAUUGGGCGUAAAGAGCGUGUAGGCGGCCAGGUAGGUCUGCUGUGAAAACUCGAGGCUCAACCUCGAGACGUCGGCGGAAACCAUCUGGCUAGAGUCCGGAAGAGGAGAGUGGAAUUCCUGGUGUAGCGGUGAAAUGCGUAGAUAUUGGGAAGAACACCGGUGGCGAAGGCGGUUCUCUGGGCCUUACCUGACGCUGAGGAGCGAAAGCGUGGGGAGCGAACAGG